rnacentral:miRNA from 1 species
AUGGACUGAAUGAUCUUC